GGUCCUACGACAGGAGAGACCAAAGGCAUGGCAGGCAAGAAAUUCCAGGACCCAUUAGAAGUCAUGUGGCAAAUGCUGAAGGAAUGUCUGCAGAGAAGGCAAGAAAUGAAAGGAGAGCCUGUGCAGAAGGAAGCACUUCCAGGAGGAAGCAGUGGUUCUGUGCCAGCCUCUGCUGCAGGAAGGGAGGCCAUGCCAGGCACAGGCACAGGAGAUGAGGUUGCUGGGAAGGCUUCUCCAUCAGCUUGGAUGAAUAAAGUUUUGAAGCCCUUGGAGCCUCCUGCAGGUAUGU